rnacentral:lncRNA from 1 species
AAAAACAAUAGCAAGCACUUUUGUAGCACAUUAAGGUAUCAGGGUUACAGAGCCAUUUAGUGUCAGAGGUGAAUUCAGGUUUUCUUGACUACAGGUCCGGCACUCUGUUCACUGCUACCUAACGGCCUCUAUUUCGCUCUUAAUUUCAGUUCCAAACAUUGCCAUGAAAGUUACAUUUUCUGCUAAAGUAUUAGUCAAAAGCGAAAGGAAACCUUCUGAUCUCUCUUUCUUUGGGCGUCUCAACCGUUCUUUUCCGGUCUCAGCACAGAUAAUGGUGGAAGAUGGCCGUCGAAAACUGGGAUUUGACUCUUGGAAAAGGGCGAGACAAGGAAAGAAAGAGGGCGGGGCAAAAAGUCCCCUGAUUGACGGAGAGUUUAGAUGGUGUUAAUUAGUAUCUCCUUACUUUUCCCUUCCUGAUUUCCAAUUCCACUGAGAUAAGUGAAAUAACUAAGUUUUGGGUUCAAAGCCAGCAUAACCGAAGCCAUAAGUCACCCCUUGGAAUACGAUGCCGAGGAGAAGCCAUUGCUUUGCAGUCAUAUACUUGGAAAAAAAGGGCCCCGAAAAUAUGGAAAGGGGGAUUCUGGGAGCCGUAGUUCGAAGGCUUUUUGUGGUUAACGACAUCCCUGAUCCCCUGGGAGCGGAGUGCGCGCGCCCUGUUGUGGGUCCCAAGGAUGCUUUGCUUUGGACCGGCUUUUGUUGCGUUCGGACUUGGGUCCUAUAUUCAAGCAUCUGGGGGCGGGAAUAUGAGCGAGGACAGAUCUUUGCAGCUUUGGGGAAUGGUUUUCUUUUGAGGCUGCUGAUGGAAUGAUAAGAACUGGCCUCGGGAUUCUUUUUGCCUUUCUCUGUACGUCCUGCUUCCGCUGCUGCCUGGCUCCUCUAAGCGUUGUUGGCAGAUUGAUUUGAGAAAAUCUGUUUCUCUCUAUAUCGGUAAAUUUGUGUAUUGAUGUCACGAAGCGGGCAUGCUGGCUCCAAGAAAAACUUUCGAAGUUCAAUCUGCAAGUAUUGAUAUUUUCUCCACAUAUUUUUUGAGUUUAGAUAAUCCAUGACAUAGACCCUGCUUUUGUGGCAUUUGCUAAUUGCAGAAGUGUAAAUAUUUACACUAAAAUUUUAAUAAUCAUCUCUAUUUGGCAGCCCUUGUGUUCUGGCACACAAAGAAAGGCAAAACAAACAAACCAAAAUAAAUAAACCCAUCCCCGCUUUGAAAGACCUGAAAGUCUAAAGAAUUGUAUCUGACAGUUUUGUAUGCUACUACUCUUGUGCAACAUUUAUAUGCCCAGUACCUCUCCACAUUUUUUUGCAUGAUUCUAG